rnacentral:rRNA from 1 species
GACGAACGCUGGCGGCGUGCUUAACACAUGCAAGUCGAACGGAAAGGCCCUGCUUUUGUGGGGUGCUCGAGUGGCGAACGGGUGAGUAACACGUGAGUAACCUGCCCUUGACUUUGGGAUAACUUCAGGAAACUGGGGCUAAUACCGGAUAGGAGCUCCUGCUGCAUGGUGGGGGUUGGAAAGUUUCGGCGGUUGGGGAUGGACUCGCGGCUUAUCAGCUUGUUGGUGGGGUAGUGGCUUACCAAGGCUUUGACGGGUAGCCGGCCUGAGAGGGUGACCGGCCACAUUGGGACUGAGAUACGGCCCAGACUCCUACGGGAGGCAGCAGUGGGGAAUAUUGCACAAUGGGCGGAAGCCUGAUGCAGCAACGCCGCGUGCGGGAUGACGGCCUUCGGGUUGUAAACUGCUUUCGCCUGUGACGAAGCGUGAGUGACGGUAAUGGGUAAAGAAGCACCGGCUAACUACGUGCCAGCAGCCGCGGUGAUACGUAGGGUGCGAGCGUUGUCCGGAUUUAUUGGGCGUAAAGGGCUCGUAGGUGGUUGAUCGCGUCGGAAGUGUAAUCUUGGGGCUUAACCCUGAGCGUGCUUUCGAUACGGGUUGACUUGAGGAAGGUAGGGGAGAAUGGAAUUCCUGGUGGAGCGGUGGAAUGCGCAGAUAUCAGGAGGAACACCAGUGGCGAAGGCGGUUCUCUGGGCCUUUCCUGACGCUGAGGAGCGAAAGCGUGGGGAGCGAACAGGCUUAGAUACCCUGGUAGUCCACGCUGUAAACGGUGGGUACUAGGUGUGGGGUCCAUUCCACGGGUUCCGUGCCGUAGCUAACGCUUUAAGUACCCCGCCUGGGGAGUACGGCCGCAAGGCUAAAACUCAAAGGAAUUGACGGGGCCCCGCACAAGCGGCGGAGCAUGCGGAUUAAUUCGAUGCAACGCGUAGAACCUUACCUGGGUUUGACAUGGAUCGGGAGUGCUCAGAGAUGGGUGUGCCUCUUUUGGGGUCGGUUCACAGGUGGUGCAUGCCUGUCGUCAGCUCGUGUCGUGAGAUGUUGGGUUAAGUCCCGCAACGAGCGCAACCCUUGUUCACUGUUGCCAGCACGUUAUGGUGGGGACUCAGUGGAGACCGCCGGGGUCAACUCGGAGGAAGGUGGGGAUGACGUCAAGUCAUCAUGCCCCUUAUGUCCAGGGCUUCACGCAUGCUACAAUGGCUGGUACAGAGAGUGGCGAGCCUGUGAGGGUGAGCGAAUCUCGGAAAGCCGGUCUCAGUUCGGAUUGGGGUCUGCAACUCGACCUCAUGAAGUCGGAGUCGCUAGUAAUCGCAGAUCAGCAACGCUGCGGUGAAUACGUUCCCGGGACU